AGGUGACGGGCGGUAACCAUGGAGACUGGUGGUCGGGUCGCCAGAAACCCCGGACUCGGGUUUGUGGGAAGAAGCCAGAGCACCUGAAUGAACCUACACGAUUAUGGGGAGAACAUACAAUCUCCUUACAAACAACGGCAGGAAAUUAACCCCAAUCGUACAGUUGGUGCUGUAAAGCGUUAUGCAAAUUGUUAUGCUACUCUAACUGGAUGAACACUUGAAGAGCCAAGAUCCCCAAAGCUACAGAUAAGGAGCUUGGAAGUGGGAGCAUCCAAAUCAUAUUAUUUUGCCCUGCUCAUUUUUCUAGCUGGUCCAGAUCCCGCUGCAAGCUCUGAUACUCUUCCUCGUUGUUCACCACAUCCCCAAUCUUGGUGUCAUCUUGAUGGAGACAGACGUCAGAAGCACGGAGGAACAUCUGGAGAAACUUCUGAAAUGCCUGCUUUGCUGCCGCUGCUACUGUGCGAUCGAGAAUCUCCGGAGGGGAAGGCCCCAAAUCCUCAGCUUUGCCUAUUGCUUGGCAGCCGGGGCCGGGGUCGAAGCACUUGGCAGAGAUGGUGCUCAGUGCUCGGUGUCGGAGGCUGGAAGUUUCCGGACAGACUCAGGAGUCGGCUGUGGUCGGAUGCUUCCAGGGUGCUGCAUCGGCAAGUUUGCGGCGCUGGAGGUUCAUGGCAGGGAGAGUUUCUCCCUUCUACCGUCUGCGUGAGAUGAUGGGACUUUCGAGAGACUUUGAGACCUUUUUUUACCGUGCCCAUGGUCUGUUCUUUAUCAAAUUAUGGUAUUGCUUUGCACUGUUGUAACUAUAUGUUAUAAUUAUGUGGUUUUAGUCAGUUUUUCAGUCUUGGUUUGUCUUGUGUUUCUGUGAUAUCGUA